CGAGACAAUGUCUCAUGGAUGUGGCUUUUUAAAAAAGCUGAACAAAAGG
ncrna:Methanobrevibacter smithii TS94A eL15-Euryarchaeota ribosomal protein leader